AUGCCCAUCCUGCUGUUCCUCAUAGACACGUCCGCCUCUAUGAACCAGCGCACUGACCUGGGCACCUCCUAUUUGGACAUUGCCAAAGGCGCUGUGGAGUUAUUCUUGAAGCUGCGCGCCCGGGACCCGGCCAGCCGCGGAGACAGGUACAUGCUGGUCACCUACGACGAACCCCCGUACUGCAUCAAGGCUGGUUGGAAGGAAAAUCAUGCAACAUUCAUGAGCGAACUAAAAAAUCUUCAGGCUUCUGGACUGACUACUCUUGGUCAGGCUCUAAGAUCCUCAUUUGAUUUGUUAAAUCUCAAUAGAUUAAUAUCUGGAAUAGACAAUUAUGGACAGGGGAGAAAUCCAUUUUUUUUAGAACCAUCUAUUUUAAUUACCAUCACAGAUGGAAACAAGUUAACAAGUACUGCUGGUGUUCAAGAAGAGCUCCAUCUUCCUUUGAAUUCCCCUCUGCCUGGAAGUGAACUAACCAAAGAACCUUUUCGUUGGGAUCAAAGGUUAUUUGCCCUGGUGUUGCGUUUGCCUGGAGUGGCUUCUACCGAACCAGAGCAACUAGGGAGCGUACCAACUGAUGAAUCUGCCAUCACACAGAUGUGUGAAGUCACAGGAGGUCGCUCCUACUGUGUGAGAACACAAAGAAUGUUGAAUCAAUGUUUAGAAUCUCUAGUUCAAAAAGUUCAGAGUGGUGUAGUUAUUAAUUUUGAAAAAACAGGACCAGAUCCACUUCCUAUUGGAGAAGAUGGACUUAUGGAUUCAUCUAGGCCAAGCAAUUCAUUUGCUGCUCAGCCAUGGCAUAGUUGUCAUAAACUCAUUUAUGUACGACCUAACUCUAAAACUGGUGUUCCUGUUGGACAUUGGCCAAUUCCAGAAUCUUUUUGGCCAGAUCAGAAUUUACCUUCAUUACCUCCACGAACAUCUCAUCCUGUUGUGAGGUUCUCCUGUGUAGAUUGUGAGCCAAUGGUAAUAGACAAACUUCCUUUUGACAAAUAUGAACUUGAACCUUCACCCUUAACUCAGUAUGUCUUGGAACGAAAGUCUCCCCAUACCUGCUGGCAGGUAUUUGUUACUAGCAGUGGAAAGUACAAUGAACUUGGAUAUCCAUUUGGUUAUUUAAAAGCCAGUACAACUUUAACUUGUGUAAACCUCUUUGUGAUGCCUUACAACUACCCAGUUUUACUUCCUCUUUUAGAUGACUUGUUUAAAGUUCACAAGCUUAAGCCAAAUCUGAAGUGGCGACAGGCUUUUGACAGCUACUUAAAAACUCUGCCUCCAUACUACCUAUUAGUACGUAUUUGUGUGUAUAUAUGUAUUAACUGUAUCAGUGAUAAUUCUUGUCACAAGAAAUGUUAGUGAUCAAAAGCUUUUACUGUUGCAAUAAGAGAGAUAUCUUUUUAUUUUACAGAUAUUUGUGUCGUCACUGUCUUCUCAAAUCAUGUGUAAGAGUUUGGAGAUGUCAUGGCGGCACAAAAGAGAGCUGUUUCUCUAUUUUAUUCCUUUAACUGCCAUGGUUAUUUUUAUAAAACACAUCUAUGUUUCUCUUAUUAAAAGUAACCUUAUGAAAUUAUAACAUUGGAAUUUAAGAAUAAAUAGAUCUGGAUUCAUAUAUUACAUCAACUUCCCUUUUUAACUCUAGAAAUUCUCAGUAUGGGGUUUCCCUCUGGAAAAAGAAAAUCUGAAGACAUUACAGUUGCCUAUUGCCUCUUAAAUGUGUCCUAGACACAGCAUGAAGUUGGGGCACUGGUGGUGGGAGGCGGAAUCCAAAAAAAUUAAGAAAUGACUUGGCCUCAUUUUGGUUUUUAUAGUGUGAAGUAUUCAUGAUUUUGAACUGGUAAUAUAAUCUAAAUCAAGAUUACCAAAAUAAUUUCAGAGGUUGAUGUGGUAACCUUUAAGCCAAGUUUCUAGAGGUGAAAAGGCAGAAUCUUAAAUGGUACCAUUGGUGUCACUGGGAGGAGAAAUUGGGGUGUGUUACUGUUUACCAUGGCAGUAAUGGGGCAAACAAUAAAAUGCAAUGUGAAAUGAUUUGAUGAUUUGGGAAAUAAGAUUGAGUGCAAUUUACUUGUUUGAAUUUGCUGUUACUUGCUCUUCUUAUCCCACUCUCUUCUGAUUUUUUUUUACUUUCUGCUCCUUACUUCUCUGCUAUUUUCAUUGCCACUUUUUAAUGUUCCAUGUUUGGUUUUAUGUGCAGCACCUUGACUUCUAAGAAAUGAAUCAUGUCCCUUUGCCCCUUAUAACUGAACUUUGAGUAUUUUAAGAUUUAUUCUAUUCUUACUGUUGUGUAUUUUGUUUCCUUAUAGCCAUUAAAGAAAGCACUAAGGAUGAUGGGAGCUCCAAAUCUGAUAUCAGAUAAUUUAGAUUGUGGACUUAGUUACAGUGUUAUCUCUUACCUUAAAAAACUCAGCCAACAGGUAGUAUUGGUAAAAACAAACAAACAAAAAUCCUUUGCCCUCAGAAGUGCAUUUCCUUAUUCUUUAGUGUAACUGUAAUUUUUCAAAUUAAAUGUGUAUAUAUCUCUACACUUUAUGGAUUAGUAAUAAUGUGAUUCUCUAUGGCUUCUAGCUUCACCAUUAAGCUGCAGUUAAGGGUCUGUCAGUAUCGUUUGAUGCUGUGCCAUUUCUCCUUUUGCCUGCCAGUUUGUCCUACCCGCAAGCUGGUUGAUAUGGGGCAGAGGUUUAAUAGACUUCUCUCAUGGGUCACAUUUUGUCUAUCUUCAACCUAGUUCCUCCUCAGAUCACUCUGGGCUACAGCAUCCCUCCUGUUUAGAUCAGCACACUGAGGCGUGGUGUGAUUAAAUGACUUGUCUUAGAUUAGUUUUCAGGCAUGUGAAGGACUUAUACUCACAUGCUAGCCCUUGGAUAAAGAGCUAUAUGGUUUUCCCUGGAGAGUGGGGAGAUGAGACCAGUGAUCCUCACACUGGAGGGUGAUAGACCCCAAGGGGAACUGAAGAGUGGAGUUCAGUUUCCUCUCUUCUCACCCUCCACCUGUUCCUCAUUUGCCAUUAUUCACCUUGUCCCUUGCCUGCCCCUCUCUAUUAGUACCUCAUCCUCCACUCACCGUUCCUUAUCAUACUUCUCACCUCUACUUAGCCCAUUCUUGUAGGAUGGAAAUAUUUGAGAACUACUGAGUUAGAACUUUACUACCAUAUGAAUGUGUUAUGUUAUAUGACAAAUUAAUGCAGCAGUUUUACUUACCUUAUGCACAAAGGUAUUCCCAGGUAGGGGACAAUAGUAGCAUUCGCAGUGGUGAUAAUGCUUCAAGGUGGAUGUGUUUGGAAGUUUGGCCUUUAGGAAAUGGAGAGUAGUGAGCAAAACAUCAGAUUUCACCAAAGAACCAAAGUGACUCCACAGUUGGGAUGCCGACACACCUUGCUAGGAACUGACAACAGCUUCAGUAUGGUCUGGAGCUUACCAGCUCCUACCAGUCCAGUGUGCUUAUAAGUGCAAAAGAAAGUAAAGGCAACCCCAGAUUUCUAAUCUACCAAGUGUCCCCCUAACCUCCUUUCCUCUCUGCUAAUAGAUUUUUUGUGGUUGUUGUAAAUGUUUUGGUUUGGUUAUUUAUUUAUUUAUCUAUCUAUUGAUCUAUCGAUUUUUUUAAAUUUGAUGUUUACCUAAGCCUUUAAGGCUGUGUCACCAAGGUAUGGCCACAAGGAAGAAUAGUGUACAGAGAUUUUAAUUAAUGCAAGUUCUGGGACCUUUUGGGGCACAUGUAUCAUUUUACAAAUGAGCUUUCAAGACCAUUUAAGGAAACAGAUGCUUCAUUUGCUCUUAUCUCAUAUUUCAUGACUUAAGAAUUUUUUAGCGAUAAUAAACAUAGACUUAAUUCCAAUAAUUAGGGAAAAUUAAUAAAUAUCUGUUACCAAACCACAAGAAAUCCAAAAUCAUUUUAGGUUUACCGAACAUUGGUGGAAUUCCAUCUUUCUGAGAAAAAGAGAAGAUCAUAGCUAAUUUAUAAUAGCUCAAAUUACUAAUUUAAUAACUGGGUCACCAGUGUUUCUUGAGCCAUUUCAGAUGUAUGUAAAACACAAAAUAUGCCAAAUAUAUAUCGCUAUAAUAACUCAAGCAAUAUUAAUCAAUAUGGUAUAACGACGCCUAUUAAGAGGCUUUUUACAAAUUACUUGGUAAUAUCUGUUAAAUUAAGCAUUAUCUUCUAAGACCUUUUUUGGAUAGUCAAAUAUUAGAGAUAAAUAGUUUAAUUUUUUCAGACCUUUUUUGGAUAGUCCAAUAUUAGAGAUAAAUAGUUUUUUUCAGAUAUAAUGCUAGUCGAUGUGAUCUGAAUUUUAGUACUAGUUUACAUGUAUAAAUACAGUCUUAAACCUUUAUGUCUGAGUCUGAAAUGAACCCGUUCACUUAGACUAGAUUUUAUAGUAACAAAAUGUGCUUUUAAAUGUCUGUGAAUGAAAUUCUUAUUCAUGGUUUUUAUUCUCUCCAUGAUUUUAUUAUAAUUUUGACACUAGACAAGAAAAGAAAAUAUUAUUUGUCUUUCCUGCCCCCUAUCUGUUUGCUGUGGUAGUGCAAAGAAGCACAGGAAAAUGUUUAAUUACCCAUUUUUCUGUGAUUUGUAAUUGAAAAUUGUUCUGUGGGGUUCUGAAAGUAUUAUCUUUCUUAAGUAGUAAAAAUGACAGUGGUAAUGUAGAUGUUUUUAUAACAUACUAUGUACUUUCAUUUUAGACCAAACUAGAGUCAGAACGAAUACUAGCAUCAGUGGGGAAGAAACCUCCCCAGGAAAUUGGAAUUAAAGUGAAAAAUCAUUCUGGAGGUGGCAUGUCCUUGACUCACAAUAAAAAUUUUAGAAAACUAUUGAAAGAAAUCACAGGGGAAACUGCGCUUAGACUGACAGAAUUGAACACCAAAGAAUUUGCUGGCUUCCAAAUUGGGCUCUUAAACAAGGAUUUGAAACCUCAGACAUACAGAAAUGCUUAUGAUAUUCCCCGUAGAGAUCUUUUAGACCAGCUGACCAGAAUGAGAUCCAAUCUGCUGAAAACGCACAAGUUUAUUGUUGGACAAGAUGAAGAUUCCCUUCAUAGUGUUCCAGUUGCACAAAUGGGUAACUAUCAGGAAUAUCUGAAGACAUUGGCUUCUCCACUACGGGAGAUUGAUCCAGACCAACCCAAAAGACUGCAUACUUUUGGCAAUCCGUUUAAACAAGAUAAGAAGGGAAUGAUGAUUGAUGAAGCAGAUGAGUUUGUAGCAGGGCCACAAAACAAAGUGAAACGUCCAGGGGAACCCAACAGUCCUAUGUCAUCUAAGAGAAGGCGGAAUGCUACUGUCAUUCACGAUGGCCAUGAGGAGAAGAUGGAAAAUGGUCAGAUCACACCUGAUGGCUUCCUGUCAAAGUCUGCUCCAUCAGAGCUUAUAAAUAUGACAGGAGAUCUUAUGCCACCCAACCAAGUGGAUUCUCUGUCUGAUGACUUCACAAGUCUCAGCAAAGAUGGGCUGAUUCAAAAACCUGGUAGUAACGCAUUUGUAGGAGGAGCCAAAAACUGCAAUCUCUCCGUAGAUGACCAAAAAGACCCAGUAGCAUCUACUUUGGGAACUAUGCCAAAUACAUUACAAAUCACUCCUGCUAUGGCACAAGGAAUCAAUGCUGAUAUAAAACAUCAAUUAAUGAAGGAAGUUCGAAAGUUUGGACGAAAAUAUGAAAGAAUUUUCAUUUUGCUUGAAGAAGUGCAAGGACCUCUGGAGAUGAAGAAACAAUUUGUUGAAUUUACCAUCAAGGAAGCCGCAAGGUUUAAAAGACGAGUCCUAAUUCAGUACCUCGAGAAGGUACUAGAGAAAAUAGAUUCCCACCACCUUCUCAACAACAUUAAUCACAUCAACAGCAGAUCAUCAUGUUAGUGCAAAGACCAAUGAGAAAAAAAUGACAAGUUUUCUGUGCUGUAGGAUGGAACAGGAUAUUGUUGAAGCCUCCUGGAAUGUUUGAGUCAAGGGAAUUGCUUUCCAGAUGCUAAGAAGAAGCAGUGGGGCUUUUGAAUUUUAUGAUUAUCUGGCAGUGAAAGCUGGGCUUUUGCCUUAAUAAUUUUUUAAAGUAUGAGUUGUUUUGUUUUGUUUUCCUCAAUUGAGGAAGCUGAUGUUAUUAAUUCAGCAGGCUAAAUUCAGUAAACACCGCUGCCCCUACCACGGGUAAUGAGAGGUCACUCACUUGAACUUUGCCAUUCCAGGCAUUCUCAGAGUGGCUAGGGGCCACCUGCAAGUGGAGCACAACUUGGUGCUCUUACUGUGUCCUUCAGAAAGAAUAGGUGUACAGAAAAGAAAUGGCAAUCUUAUGUGAGCUGAACAAAGUUUUCAACAAUUCCUAGUUGUGCCUUUUAAACCAUGCAAUAUUCAGGAUAGUUUGAAUCAAAGAAGUAAGAAGCUGCUAUUUGGGUAACUUAUUUCUCUGUGGGAAGGGGCAGGGAGAGUCACCAAACAAUCUACCUCCAACUCUCUUCUCGUUUGUCUAGAGACAUUACAAAGUGCACUUGAGGCUGCCCCCAACCUCUGACAUUUGUUCUUGCAUGUGAUGAUAGAAAAUCUUCAGAUGGACUUAUACAUUCUGUGCUUUGGAAGCACAAGAAGAUCAAAAAAUGUAUAUAUUUCCUUUAAUGUUUAUACAAAAGUUUAUAUGGAGCAGUAUUGUUAUGUUUGUAUGAAUUUGCAAAAAUUAAAGUGUACAAAGAGAUUUUGAUUUUGCAUAUAUAAAAUAAAUCAUUUUAUUGAUUUUCACGGGUUC
rnacentral:sRNA from 1 species